rnacentral:misc_RNA from 1 species
CGCACCUUGCACCUUUUGGCAUUCCGAAAGGUACAUCUGUUUGAGUGUCAUGAAUACCUCAACCUCUACAUUUUCUUGUAAAGUGUAGCAGCGUUGGAUGAUGAGCGCUGCUGUCGCCUUCUGCACAGCUCGCUUCAAAUGUAUAAGCAAUCUUUGUACUGCUCGGAUUGACUUGACGUGAUAAGAUCUCCGUCGAGGAUGCUUUCAAUAGCAGCCGGAUUGUACACUAGUCGCUUCUAAACCGAGUCGCCUUGCGCGAUGCUCCUAUAAUUUAGACCUCAAAUCAGAUGGGACUACCCGCUGAACUUAA